rnacentral:rRNA from 1 species
AGCAGCCGCGGUAAUUCCAGCUCCAAUAGCGUAUAUUAAAGUUGUUGCAGUUAAAAAGCUCGUAGUUGAAUUUCGGGAUCAAUACGUCGGUCGUGCCUUCGGUACGUACUGGCGUCAUUGGUUUCUCCCUUCUGACGAACCAUGAUGUCAUUAAUUUGGUGUUAUGGGAAGUUAGGACUGUUACUUUAGAAAAAUUAGAGUGUUUAAAGCAGGCUAACGCUUGAAUACAUUAGCAUGGAAUAAUGAAAUAGGACGUUUGAUCCUAUUUUGUUGGUUUCUAGGAUCGACGUAAUGAUUAAUAGGGAUAGUUGGGGCAUUAGUAUUCAAUUGUCAGAGGUGAAAUUC